rnacentral:rRNA from 1 species
GAUGAACGCUGGCGGCGUGCCUAAUACAUGCAAGUCGAGCGAACAGAUGAGGAGCUUGCUCCUCUGACGUUAUCGGCGGACGGGUGAGUAACACGUGGAUAACCUACCUAUAAGACUGGGAUAACUUCGGGAAACCGGAGCUAAUACCGGAUAAUAUAUUGAACCGCAUGGUUCAAUAGUGAAGGACGGUUUUGCUGUCACUUAUAGAUGGAUCCGCGCCGCAUUAGCUAGUUGGUAAGGUAACGGCUUACCAAGGCAACGAUGCGUAGCCGACCUGAGAGGGUGAUCGGCCACACUGGAACUGAGACACGGUCCAGACUCCUACGGGAGGCAGCAGUAGGGAAUCUUCCGCAAAGGGCGAAAGCCUGACGGAGCAACGCCGCGUGAGGGAUGAAGGUCUUCGGAUCGUAAAACUCUGUUAUUAGGGAAGAACAAAUGUGUAAGUAACUAUGCACGUCUUGACGGUACCUAAUCAGAAAGCCACGGCUAACUACGUG